AUUUUCUGCUAAUAUUUCAUAAAAGUAAGUAAGUACUCUUUAAAAACCUACUGUGUGGCUAGUUAGUAACUUUUAGUUGCAUUAGAAGAUUGUUUUCUGAAGAUAAGAUGGGGAUAGCUAGUGUCGCUCUCUUGCCUCUAAGUAUAACACAAAGUGUAAUUUUUCACAUAAUUAAACUUUUUUUCUUGCCGCUAUUGCCAAUCUACAUUCCAGUGAUGUUAGCUAUAAAAGCAGCUCUAGGAGGCUUACGUCUUGGAAAAUGGACUGCUUUAUUGCCGUUUAGACUUAUUUAUACAAUAUUUAUUAGACCCAUAUUGAGCCUUUUAUUUUAAAUAAUUUAAGAAGAUAUAUAAAUGUUAUCGAAUUCCUGUGUAGUAUUCUUUGAAAAUAAAUGGUGUUAUUAAGUA